rnacentral:lncRNA from 1 species
CGGACAGGGAGAGAAGGUGGAGACCUGAGGGUGAGGAUGGGUAGAGGAAGAAGACGGUGAUCACGGGCUGGAGGGAAGGUGGAAACUUGAGGGUGAGGAUGGGUAGAGGAAGAAGGUGGCGAUCACGGGCUGGAGUACAUGGCAAGAAGCUCGCCUUGUCCUCGUGGCUGCCGCUGCAUCCGCCGCCCACAAUGCAAGAAAUCUUUGAUGGCUCGGCGGCGGAGGUGCCAGUCACAACCCACGAGAACGCGCUGGCACGUGUUUUCGCAAGAAAGACGGAAAGAAUGCUACCGCCUUAGCUUCUCGCCGAUUUCGG